GACAUAUACACGUUUCAAGCACGAUCGCAUACGGUGGCAUACGCUGGCAUACGGCGAGGCAGAAAAUUUGUGCGUAUCCGACGUAUGCUUUAUACGAUAAGCAUACUCUAGGCACACGCUGAAUACGCCAGAGGUACGCCAGAUGUACGGUACAUACACGCUGGCAUUUCAAAGGAUUUUUGUGCGUAUGAAAAUUAUUUCAUUAAUUUUCAUACGCUUCUCAUACGUUUCUCUCAUACGCAAUAGUGUGACAGAGCCUUAA